rnacentral:rRNA from 1 species
CCUACGGGUGGCAGCAGUGAGGAAUAUUGGUCAAUGGGCGCAAGCCUGAACCAGCCAAGUCGCGUGAGGGAUGAUGGUCCUAUGGAUUGUAAACCUCUUUUGUCGGGGAGCAAGGCCCGCCACGUGUGGCGGGAAGGAGAGUACCCGAAGAAAAAGCAUCGGCUAACUCCGUGCCAGCAGCCGCGGUAAUACGGAGGAUGCGAGCGUUAUCCGGAUUUAUUGGGUUUAAAGGGUGCGCAGGCGGGAGAUCAAGUCAGCGGUAAAAUGUCGGGGCUCAACCCCGGCCGGCCGUUGAAACUGGUUUUCUAGAGUUGGAGAGAAGUAUGCGGAAUUCGUGGUGUAGCGGUGAAAUGCAUAGAUAUCACGAAGAACUCCGAUUGCGAAGGCAGCAUACCGGCUCCAUACUGACGCUGAGGCACGAAAGCGUGGGGAUCGAACAGGAUUAGAUACCCGGGUAGUC